rnacentral:rRNA from 1 species
UACGUAGGCAGCAAGCGUUGUUCGGAGUUACUGGGCGUAAAGGGUGCGUAGGCGGCUUUUUAAGUUUGGUGUGAAAUCUCCCGGCUCAACUGGGAGGGUGCGCCGAAUACUGAGAAGCUAGAGUGUGGGAGAGGAAAGUGGAAUUCCUGGUGUAGCGGUGAAAUGCGUAGAUAUCGGGAGGAACACCCGUGGCGAAAGCGGCUCUCUGGACCACUACUGACGCUGAGGCGCGAAAGCUAGGGGAGCAAACAGG